AAUGAACGUUGGCGGCGUGGAUUAGGCAUGCAAGUCGUACGGGCCGCAAGGCCAGUGGCGCAAGGGUGAGUAAGGCGACGGCAACCAACCCCAUGGUUGGGUAUAGCCGCGGGAAACCGCGGGUAAUCCCCAGCGACGCACGAGGCCGGCAUCGGCCUUGUGCCAAAGCUCAGGCGCCGUGGGACGGGCCGUCGUGGUAUUAGGUAGUUGGCGGGGUAACGGCCCACCAAGCCGACGAUGCCUACCGGGCGUGCGAGCGUGGCCCGGCACACUGGGGCUGAGACACUGCCCAGACUCCUACGGGAGGCUGCAGUCGAGAAUCUUCGGCAAGGGGCGCAAGCCUGACCGAGCGGCGCCGCGUGGAGGACGAAGGCAUUCGGGUUGUAAACUCCUGUCGAGGGGGAAGAAGGCCCCGCAAGGGGCUUGACUGAUCCCUGGAGGAAGCACGGGCUAAGUUCGUGCCAGCCGCCGCCGUAACAC
rnacentral:rRNA from 1 species